AAUAUCUCAAUUAGCCACCGAAUCAAAUCUAAUAAUAGAAUAAAUAAAUAAAAGCCACCGAUAUUAAGCGCAACAGAUGAAUUCAUGUCCUCUUCUUUUGUAUAUUCUCUCCAAAGCUUUCAACUCUAUUUUGGGGUCAUUUUCUUAAUUUUUUUUAAUUAAACUAUAUAGAAACUGGGGAGAUGUUUUCAGAUAUUUAUUAAUUUUUAUCCUUCACCUUUAAUUUCUUAAGUUUGACAUCAGUUAUUAAGCGCAACGGAUGAAUUCAUCUCCUCUUCUUUUGUAUAUUCUCUCCAAAGCUUUCAACUCUAUUUUGGGGUCUUUUUCUUAAUUUUUUAAAAUUAAACUAUAUAGAAACUGGGGAGAUGUUUUCAGAUAUUUAUUAAUUUUUAUCCUUCACCUUUAAUUUCUUAAGUUUGACAUCAGUUAUUGUUGGCCUCACUCUCACAUGGUUGGUUUGAAGCUUUUCUAUCAUGUAGUUCGGUGAAAAUUAUUUUAUUAAUCGUGACUUGCAGGUAAGAAUUAUUAUUAUUAUUUUGUGUUAUGUUUUUAAUUUAUUAGAUUUUAAUUCACAAUUUAUUUGAUAACAAGUGAAAGAGAUGUUAAUUAGGAUAGAUUCAUUUUCUUGUUUAGUAUAUAGGAUUUUCUACUUUAAUUUAAUUGUAUCUUAAUUUUUUUUUUUAUUGUUAUCAAGGGAAUUAAGAGCCUAGGAAGAAAAAUUAUGAUAUUCAACUUUCUUAAGGAUUCAGUUGCUCAAUCCACAUUGAUUCUAUCUUUUAUCAACAGCAAAAUAUCAUUGCAAGAGUGCCAUGUAGCCUUUGGUGUAUUUUAUUUAAUUUAAAUAUUUGUCAUGGAUUCAAUGAUUAAUACGUAUUUAUUUUAUCUUUUAGUAACAUUAAGUUAUUGUAAUAGCAUCAUGUAGCUUUAAGUCAUUGUAAUGGUGUCGUGUAGCACUUGUACUUUGUUUGAGUUGCACAUGUAUUUGUUGAAAUUAUUUAGCACUUUGCCAUUUCAUUGGCCUUUUGCCAUUUCUCAUAAAGCCUCCUCUGAUUUCUAUGAGCAUCAUCCGUUGGAACUGGAGGGCAUGGCUGGGUUAAGACAUAUUUAUAAUUUUCAGCAGUCAGGACAAUGAAUAGAUUUCUUUUCCAAUUUAUAUAGUUCUCUCCAGUGAGUUUGUUUUGACUCAGAAUAAUAGUAAGUGGGCUCAUGGAAGACAUUUUCUGAAAAAUAAAACAUCCAUGCAUAAAUAAUUUGAAAUAAUAUUCACAAUAAAUGAAAAAAAUGCAAAAAACCAUAAAUGCAUUUUAAUUUAUUGUAACGAUAAUCUAGUACCGCUUUGACAAGCUAUCCGUUGGGGAAGUCAUGUCUACACUUACUAGACCCAAUUAUCCAUUGGAUUAUUUACUUUCAUGUAAAGACAUGAUAAAUAAAUGUCGUUAUCCUUUUGGACCUAAAUUUGUUAACAGAGCUUCGUUGGGAAGGUUAAUAACAAAUUUUAGUUGAGUGUAUAACCAUUGUUUCAAUCUAGAUAUUUUUCAUAUCAUUAGUCACCGUUGGGGUGAACAAUCGAUUAAAAAAUAUUUCAAUUUUAUCUUUGAAGAAGUUCAUUAAAUAAAAUAUCUAAUAUAUAUACCCUCCGAAGGGAGCAUCACCGUAUCAUGAAGUCGAGGUAUAUAUAUAAUUUUAUUAUUGAACUAACAAUGGAGCCCGUGGGAAAAAUUAUCUUGAAUUUUCCCUCUCCCGCUCAAUAUUUUAAAAUUGGUUUUUCCUUUUUAAAACAUACAUAUUGUUAAUUGCAUGCUUACUAUAAUAUUUUCUAGAUGAUAUCAAAUAUUAUUAAGCACGUGCAAAUUUCAAACAAUAUAAUGAGAUUCAUUAUUAAUGAAUUACAUGUAUCAUUAUGCAUAGAGUGGCACUACCUAUCUAUAUGACAUGUUAUCAUGGCAUGUAAUCAUCCAAAACAUAACAUAUAGAAAAACAAUUAAAUAAUCUUAAUUCAUGGCUUUCCUAAUAAUGAAAAAUACAUUAACCCUAAGCCUAAUCUUCAUUGAGCUUCUUGUCAAUGUCCAUCUUCCAUAAAUUUGUCUUUGUUAAUGGACUAGGGAAAAUUGGGCUUUAAAAUUUAUAAUUGGUCCAAUUUUAAUUUUUAAAAGAAAUAAAUAAAUAAUUAAAAAAAAUUAUUAAAAUAAAACUUUUGGAGCAAAAAUAAAUUUAAUGUGUUCAAUUUUAUCUAUGUAUUUUAAUCCAUUAAGCCCAAUUGAAAUUGGGCCUAAAACUAGGAUUUACUUAAACCCAAAACUGUUUUUGGAUUUAAACGCAAAAAUUAAAAAUAUUUCUGCCCAAAAAGAAAAACUAUGGAGCCAUAGGGACCUCAAUGAUAGAAACCAUUGAAACCCUAAAUCCAUCUUUUCCUCUUUCCUUUCUUCCCCAGCCGCCACCAGCAGACUGUUCAGAGACGCCGACCAUCUCCGACGCCGAAACACUCGCCGCCACGUCGCCGGAAACGCACCAAACUCGCGCGGGCAGCAAGCUGCGCGUGCAGCGCGCGCUGCUGGCCAUUGCUCGCCGCAAGCGCUGCUUUGCAGCGCGCAGCACAGCUGAUGGCUGGCAGCGUGCGCUGCUGGCAGCGUGUGCUGCGAGCCGCGCGCUUGCUGGCAGCAUGUGCUGCUGGCCGAGCGCUGCUUGCUGCUGGUUGCCGCUGUCAAAAAUUCCGGCCUCCGUCACUCCGAUCUUGAAAAUCCGAGAUUAAUUUACAAAUAUCCUAGGCCAAUAUUGGCUUACAAAAAUUCUAUAAUAGUAAAAUAAAUCAAGAGAGAAAUAUAGUGAUAAAAAAUUACCCCUCUUGUUACAGAUCCAAGCGAAAAAUACAACAGAAAAUCUAACAAUAAAUUAAGACAAACCAUAACAUGAUUUAUUCAUAUAUUAAUAAAUAAUAUAUAUCUGAAUAAAAUGUGUCACUUUAAUACAUAAAUUUCAAGAUUAAUUUCAUACGAAAUUCUUAUAUAUUAAUAUGAGAUGGCUCUGAUACCAAUUGUUGGGGAAAAAUCAGGUUUUUAAAUUUUUUAUAAAACCUUUUGAAGAUCGCUAUCAUAUAAUAUAUAAGAAUUUGUAUUCUAGAAAUCGUACCUUGAAAAUCUGAUUUGGCUUUUUCCGUUGAAGUGAUUUAGGCUCCUAGAUCACGAUCCGCCACCACCACUCCUGUUAGAUCACGAUCCUGCACCACCACGCUUGUUAGAUCACGAACUGUCACCAAUGAUCUUCCAGGUUAUGACUUAGGUUCGAUCUGCACUUAACGUGUGGGCGCCUUUAUCACUACCAAAGCAACUAGCACGAGAAAAUUUUUCUCUCAACAAUAGAGAGAAAAAUCUUUUUCUCUGAUUUGUAUAAAGUGGCUUCUGUCUUUUUCUUUAGAGAAAAUAAGCCUUAUAUAUCUCCCUUUAGUGAAAACCCUAGGCUCCAAAUAAUGCCCUAAAUAAAACUCACGUUACUUUUCAUUUAAUAGGGGACCCACUAUGUAAAAUAACAUAAGGCCCCUUACACAUAAGCUAAUUAAAUGGAGCCUCCCACUAAAUGAUAUAUUUAGGCUUUUGACCCAAAUAGCUAGUUAUCUUGCUUAUUAGUCCAGUAGUGGUGCAGUCAAUUAAAUGAGCUAACCCGGGGAUCAUUUGGGAACAUACAAUAGUGGCUACAAUAAUUAGACAUGUAAUUAAACUAGCCCAAUUAUUUAAUUCCAAAUCUACUCCACUAAAAGAUUGGAACUGACUUCCAUAAUUGUAUGCUCGAAUAAUAAUUCGUCUCAAGCCACAUUGAUUUCUUUACUGCACAAUCCUUUGUACCACAUCGUUAAUUAAAUUGAUAUCUCAACUGUCCAAUCAAUUUAAUAACAUCUUAUUCCUUGAUCCUUACUGGUUUUCUCUAAUGAUCAUUUUCAACAUACUAAAUAUGUUGACACACUCUGGCCAGAGAAUUCUAUGAUCAAGUGCCGAAAACCCAUCAAGAGAUGUGUUGUACAAAUUCUAUAUUGUUAAUCUAUAACUCCAAUACUCAUAAAUGCUCCCACUAAGAUACCGGGUAAUCUUGACCACAAGUAUGUGUCAUGCCCAUUGGUAACUCAAAUGGAAUAACAAUUACAAUCAUGAAAUCAUAAUUAACUCAAGAUUAAGAUUACAGUAAAAUCAAUGCCUAUGAGAUUUAAUAAGUCUGACAGUUAUUACAAAGUUAAUUAAAUCUCAUAUUUGAUCCUGUUCAAUGUAGUCGUACUACAUCAAUAAAUUCAUACAUGAUUAAGACAAAUCAUUCAAUGAAUUUAUUACAGUCUAUACCUAAAUAAAGUGCCCAACUUUAUUUAUCAACUGCGAACUAAAUUUAUUUAAUCAUAAGAUAACUUGUAUUUAUGUCUUCUGUGAAUCCACAUGGUGAUCACAUAAAUACAUAUAAUAUGAUUAAAUGGACUUUAAUAUAAAUAUUAAUGCAAUUAAGAUAUUUGAAUAAAAUACCUCAUUUAUUUUAUUAAUCAGAAAAAUUGUUUAUUACAAUUAAAUAAACACAUAUACUUUUAAAGAGUAUAUUUUCCCAACAAUGCAAAUCCACCAGGUGUUGAGUUUCUACCAUCAUUCACUCUUGAGCUUGAUGUUGUUUCCAAGUUCUUGCAACGCUUCUGCUUGGCACAGAGAAGUAAAUUUUGUAAGUAAGUACACUCAAUCAAAUACUUCAUACUUAACAUCGAUUGCAUAUAUUAAAAAAAAAUUAGAUGAUUAGUAAUUAACAUUUAAUUAUAGUUGAAAUAUUGUUUAUUAAAUUAGUCUAAUUGUCUAAGAACGGUCAUACAAUUAAUUUCAACAUAUAAAAAAACUAUUGCAAUAAUUUAUUUAUAUUUUGAAACAUAGCUCAACUAUGAAUUAUUAAAACUAAUAUAGCUUCACAGUUUUUGCAUCAAUAUCUCUUUUCAUCUUUCGCUUAUCUUACCAAUUUAAAUUUAAAAUCUAUGUUAAAGAUGUUCUGUCAAUCAAUUUAGGCUAGAGAUUAAUUAAACAAUCUAGUAAGCACAUAAUAGGUAUUAUUAUUAAUUGUUCAAUUAUAAUAAACUUUCAAAUUGCAUUAAUGUGAUAAGAAGUUAUGUUUUGCAAUUAAUCGAAUCAUAUGCUAAUAAUUUGCAAUAUUUAUCAGUAUGAAAUAACUAACUUAGAAUAAAUUAAUUAAUUGAUUGCUUUUUUCUUAAAUUUGAAUAUCUUGUAUUAUCUCUAGUAACUGUUUGGUCCACUUAAUUACUAUAAUCCCACCUAACUAAAGUUUUUUGUGCAAAUGUAUAUUUACCGUAACCCACGUUCUCCAUUCUCUCUAACAAAUCUCUCAAUUAGCCACCGAAUCAUAUCCAUUAACAGAAUAAAAAUAAAAGCCACCGAUAUUAAGCACAAUGGAUGAAUUCAUCUCUACUUCUUUUGUAUAUUCUCUCUAAAGCUUCAAACUCUAUUUUAGGGUUAUUUUCUUAAUUCUUUUGAAUAAAGCUAUAUAGAAUCUGGGGAGAUUUUUUCAAAUAUUUAUUACCUUUUGUCCUUCACCUUUAAUUUCUUAAGUUUGACAUCAGUUUUGUUGGCCUCACCCU
rnacentral:lncRNA from 1 species